UGCGUAGGCGGCCUAUUAAGUCAGUGGUGAAAGGUAUCAGCUUAACUGAUGACGUGCCAUUGAAACUGAUAGGCUUGAGUACAGACGAGGUAGGCGGAAUUUAUGGUGUAGCGGUGAAAUGCAUAGAUACCAUAAAGAACACCAAUUGCGAAGGCAGCUUACUAGACCGAGACUGACGCUGAGGCACGAAAGCGUGGGGAGCGAACAGGAUUAGAUACCCUGGUAGUCC
rnacentral:rRNA from 1 species